AAAGCGUGCGCAGGCGGUUAUGUAAGACAGAUGUGAAAUCCCCGGGCUCAACAUGGGAACUGCAUUUGUGACUGCAUGGCUAGAGUACGGUAGAGGGGGAUGGAAUUCCGCGUGUAGCAGUGAAAUGCGUAGAUAUGCGGAGGAACACCGAUGGCGAAGGCAAUCCCCUGGACCUGUACUGACGCUCAUGCACGAAAGCGUGGGGAGCAAACAGGAUUAGAUACCCUUGU
rnacentral:rRNA from 1 species